rnacentral:lncRNA from 1 species
CAGCAUAAAAAAGAAGUGUUGAGAGCUGCUCUUAACCCUUUUGGAGUCCGAAGUCAAAAGGGAGAUCUACUUCCCAUGGUUUGGAGAUCUGCCUGUGGAUUUUUGAGGAGACAGUUACACGUGUAUGUACACUCAGCAUCAGUGGCCUGCGGGGAACUAGGGGGCUUGAUACAUCCCUUGCAUCCUGCAUUUACUCUGACCACAGUCCCUCCCUGUUCUCACAAGUGGAGCUCUGCCCUGCUUCCCUUCCUGUUGAUUCCCAGUCAGCUACAUGACAAAUUGCCUUCAUGGUCCUGGUCCUUUGGUUCCACACAAUCAUCGACUGAGCUGAAGGAGAUCUCCCUAUAG